GUCAGUACAUGUAGUACCUAGCUCAAGAAAAGGUAUUGUCCUGUAGCUUUGGUCUUACCUAGUAUGGAUAACAUUUUUAUGGAAAACUUGCUAUUUCCCUGGUGCGCUAACAUGAUGUGUUGGAAUAUCAGGCAGCGGCCUGCUUUGGCCAUGCCGCACCACCACUGGCACGUCCACCAUGGUUGCUGGCAGCCGUCCAAGUUGAGCGCUGAUGGGAGUCCUUAGCAUGCUUCAACGACACUCUCUCAUAUCAAUCUCUCUCUUUCUUUGCUCCUGCUAUUAAAAUGUGUAGAUGUGCUGCUUUGCUAAUUGAGUAGUUGGGAAGAUGUGAAAAGAACAUGCUCUCUAGGUGUGUGAUUAUUCCUAUGAGCACAAAUGUAUUUAAAUGUUUAUUUUGUGCUUCAGCUUAUGCUUUUGGGCAAUACAAAUACAUCUUCAAAAAUAAGUACAUAUGCGGUCUUAUAGAACUCUAAUUGUUGUUGGAUGCUAUUCCAAAUGCCAAUGAUCAUGCAAAACGGUUAUUGCUAGAAUCUAGAUGAUAUGUAAUGUAGUUAUCAUAAUUUCACCCUAUUUUAUGGUUCUAAUUAUUGUUGCAUAAGUCUUUAAAAGAAAUGUUCGCUAAAUGUUUGUGAUCAUUGCUUGUAGGUAUUUGUAUGAACAUUAAAAUAAUGGCUUUUCUUGUAGGAGGUUCAAAGAUUGUUGUGGAGCAAGUUCAAGAGAUCAGUUUGGUGAAAAUAAUGUGAUCUUUUGGUCAGGAUUUUGCAUGAUCCAUAGCCAUCAGGCAAGCAGUCCAAGGCCUACUACACGAGUCGUCCAUCGUCUUCUACGCAUGAUGAGCUUGUUGUCUCUACACAUCUAGCAUCGGAGUAUCUCCUCCCCUUGCCGCACACACAUGCCCGCGGUCGAGCUAGUGUUGUUUGUGAUUGCUGGUCGUGACUCUUACGUUGUCAUUGGACAAAUAAUUUGUUUUGUAACUCUGUACUGAUGGGACCUUCAGCAUAUAUGGUGUUUAGAAUUUGUUUGUAACUCUGUACUGUCGGGACCUUCAGCAUAUAUGGUGAUCUCAGUAUUCUAAU
rnacentral:lncRNA from 1 species